GCAGUCGUGGCCGAGUGGGCGAUGGGCUAGAAAUCCACUGGGGUCUCUGAGCACAGGUUCGAAUCCUGUCGACUGCG
rnacentral:tRNA from 1 species